UUGAACGCUGGCGGCAGGCCUCACACAUGCAAGUCGAACGGUAACAGGAAACAGCUUGCUGUUUCGCUGACGAGUGGCGGACGGGUGAGUAAUGUCUGGGAAACUGCCUGAUGGAGGGGGAUAACUACUGGAAACGGUAGCUAAUACCGCAUAACGUCGCAAGACCAAAGAGGGGGACCCUCGGGCCUCUUGCCAUCGGAUGUGCCCAGAUGGGAUUAGCUUGUUGGUGGGGUAACGGCUCACCAAGGCGACGAUCCCUAGCUGGUCUGAGAGGAUGACCAGCCACACUGGAACUGAGACACGGUCCAGACUCCUACGGGAGGCAGCAGUGGGGAAUAUUGCACAAUGGGCGCAAGCCUGAUGCAGCCAUGCCGCGUGUAUGAAGAAGGCCUUCGGGUUGUAAAGUACUUUCAGCGGGGAGGAAGGGAGUAAAGUUAAUACCUUUGCUCAUUGACGUUACCCGCAGAAGAAGCACCGGCUAACUCCGUG
rnacentral:rRNA from 1 species